rfam:Brachypodium distachyon strain Bd21 chromosome 4, whole genome shotgun sequence.
GAUAUACUCCCUCCAUCCAACAAAAGAUGUCUUAAGUUUCUCUCAAAAUUUGGAUGUAUUUAGACUUACUGUAUAGAUGUAUUCAAAUUUAGUCAAUGUUGAGACAUCUUUUGUUGGACGAAGGAAGUACACU